ensembl:lncRNA
GUGGCAGAGAUUAAUUCAGUCCAACCCACAAAUCUGAUUGCCUGCAUUUGCAUAUUAAUAAGAAAAUCUCUCAAAUGUUUUAUUUUUUUUUCCUUUUCUUCAAGUGUUCUCUCUUUAACUUCGGCAGGUGCUGAGGCAGAAGAUGAUGCAGAAGACUGAUUUUAAAAAUGAGAGGAAAAAUCUGAUAUUUACAGCACUUGCAUCUGGCGAUCUGAGUCUCAAUGAAUGAUGCGGUGAUAAGGAGGUCAGAUAUACCAGUGGGACAUCUCUGCUUGUAGAGCUUUAUGACUUUUUAAUGGAACUGCAGUCACUCCAGCCUGCUUCAAUCACAGCCAAUUAGCAGCUUCUGCUCGUUAACACUGCUCCCAACACUGCACUAAUUCGAGGUUAAUUUGGUUUGAUUGGGAAUUUUUUUAGAUCU